CACGACCCUCCGCCGAGUCCGGUGCGCCCAUCGGGGCAGCCGGAGCCGGGGACCCACCGUUCUCCGGGGUGAAUCGGCCCGACCGCCGCACGCGGCAAGGGCCGUAGGGCAAACCUUCCGAAGCAUGCGCCCGAACCCGACAGCUAACUCGGUAGGCGGACCAUGGAAGGAGAC
rfam:Streptomyces scabiei 87.22 complete genome